rnacentral:rRNA from 1 species
CCUACGGGGGACAGCAGUGAGGAAUAUUGGUCAAUGGGCUUACGCCUGAACCAGCCAAGUCGCGUGAGGGAAGACUGCCCUAUGGGUUGUAAACCUCUUUUGUCAGGGAGCAACGCCGGCUACGUGUAGCCGGACUGAGAGUACCUGAAGAAAAAGCAUCGGCUAACUCCGUGCCAGCAGCCGCGGUAAUACGGAGGAUGCGAGCGUUAUCCGGAUUUAUUGGGUUUAAAGGGUGCGUAGGCGGAAUGCCAAGUCAGCGGUGAAAGUUUGUGGCUCAACCAUAAAAUUGCCGUUGAAACUGGAAGACUUGAGUGUGUUUGAGGUAGGCGGAAUGCGUGGUGUAGCGGUGAAAUGCAUAGAUAUCACGCAGAACUCCGAUUGCGAAGGCAGCUUACUAAGCCAUAACUGACACUGAAGCACGAAAGCGUGGGGAUCAAACAGGAUUAGAUACCCUAGUAGUC